AUAUUAAUAAGCGGAGGAAAAGAAACUAACAAGGAUUCCCCUAGUAACGGCGAGUGAAGCGGGAAGAGCUCAAGCUUAAAAUCGACGCGCCAAGCGGCACGCCGAGUUGUAGUCUAUAGAUGCACGGUCAGCGGUGACCCCGGUAUAAAUCUUUUGGAAUAAGGUAUCAUAGAGGGUGAGAAUCCCGUCUUUGACUGGAAGUUCGCCGCGUACGACCUGCAUUCAACGAGUCGAGUUGUUUGGGAUUGCAACUCUAAAUGGGUGGUAAAUUUCAUCUAAAGCUAAAUAUCAGCGAGAGACCGAUAGCGCACAAGUA
rnacentral:rRNA from 1 species